GGGCCUGAGCCUCUUCCUCAACCUCCCAGGCCCCAUCUGGCUCCAGCCCGCUCCACCUCCCCAGUCUUCUCCCCCGCCUCAGCCCCAUCCGUGUCAUACCUGCCGGGGACUGGUUGACAGCUUUAACAAGGGCCUGGAGAGAACCAUCCGGGACAACUUUGGAGGUGGAAACACUGCCUGGGAGGAAGAGAAGUUGUCCAAAUACAAAGACAGUGAGACCCGCCUGGUAGAGGUGCUGGAGGGUGUGUGCAGCAAGUCGGACUUCGAGUGCCACCGCCUGCUGGAGCUGAGUGAGGAGCUGGUGGAGAGCUGGUGGUUUCACAAGCAGCAGGAGGCCCCGGACCUCUUCCAGUGGCUGUGCUCAGAUUCCCUGAAGCUCUGCUGCCCCGCAGGCACCUUUGGGCCCUCCUGCCUUCGUGAGUUUUUCAUUGCUCUUGGGGAUGGGAGGGGACCGCCGAGUCCAGGGAUCCAGUCCUGGCUCUGUCCCUAGUUCGCUGUGUGAACUCAGGCUACUCAGAUAAACUUCUCUGGACCUCAGUUCUUGCCCACCUCACAGGGCUGGGGAGAUGGGCAAAUCAGUGGGGAAAGGCUUGGAGAAAGCACAGGGGCUAGACUGAGUCAGAUGCAGUAUGGUUAUCAUCAUGUAUUAAAGAAAUGAUAGAUCUCCCAGCCCCUUCAUUUCCCAUGCCAGAUCGGACUAUGGUACCUUCCUGGGGAGGGGCGUGUGUUGCCCUGGAGCCCCCAUGAUCGCCAUCCAUCCUCACACACAGUCCUGGCACAAGAGCUGAACUUACUACCAGCCUCUUUUAGAGCAGUCUUUCCUGAAGCUACAGAUAAAGAGCUAGCUACAAAGAUGGCAAAUUCAGUCUUUGUAAAAGAAAAUAUUGG
rnacentral:sRNA from 1 species